rnacentral:lncRNA from 1 species
AUUAGAAGUGAAUUUUCUCUUGCUUCCCCGGAAAAUGGUUUGGAGUAAUCGCCGGGAAGCUGAAGAUCGCCGUCUCCCGGCGGAUUUUCCCGGCUAAUAAAAUGUCACACGUUUUUUACGAGGCAGCCUUACAACAAAAACCAGCUCCCGCUUAAACCCUUUUAGAAAGAAAGAUACAAACCCAAAAAAAAUCCAGAGAAACUUUUCUCUAAAAACCCACCUCGAAAUUUCCGAUCUUUCUUCUUCCAAAUUCAGAGAAUUUAAGAUUUUCUCGCAAUGGCGACGACGAACGCUCCCACGGCGGCUCAGCAGCAACAACAGCAAACUCCG